UAACUUUAGUUUUCUGGGGUUUUUGUUUUUUAAGAAAAAAAAUGCUGCUUUGUAAAUUUAGUUAUUUUGAGUAUCAUUGCCCAACUUUUAAUUUUUUUUUCCAGUAAAAUAUUUGCUAGGUGCCACCUUAGAGUUUCACUUCUCUUCCUAACAGGUUAGGGGUCUGUUUGAACACAAUUAACAAUCGUUUUUCAAAAUGUUUCCAUCAUUUUUUUUCUUUAAGAACUGAUUGUUUUAAAGAUAAAUAAUAUAUACAAAGGCAAAUAAACUUCAUAGAUAACAUGUGGUUUGCAGUUACAGCUACAGUGGCCAAGGUGUAGCAAGUCUUGAGUUAACUUUAGUUUACUUUAUAAAUUUAAUCUCUUAGGAUACUUGAGGUACUAGAUAAAUUAAUUUUACUAAUUAUUCCCAAGAAUAGCUAUUUAAAUACUUAGAAGAUUAAAUCUAACCCACCUUAUUCAAUCCAGGACUAGACUUAACUCACUGUUAAAAGGACUGGAAAAUAGAAGAGUGUGUUGGUGAGACAUUU
rnacentral:lncRNA from 1 species